rnacentral:lncRNA from 1 species
AUAAUAUAUAACAUAAAAUAACUAUUAAAUAUUAUUUAUAUUUAUAUGCCUUAUUCUGAGACUGCAUAAAUUCUGCAUCUUGUUUUAUUUCUUCAGUCUGUCUUACACACGUGUAUCUGUUUAGGUCGAAAACAAACAGGUAAAAGAUGAACACAGGUCAGAGAAUAAAACAGAGGCACCAAGCAGGUGGUUUUACUUUAUGUAGAAUCAUUACCUUUGGUGACAUUUUAUUUCAGUGAGUAUAGUUUAAUACAGACUUUUGGAUUUCCAUACAACUUAAUUUUCCAUUUUCUCCCUUCAUCCUUCCAUCUCUCCUGUUUAAACAAGUAACCAAGUCAGUUAAUGAACAGCUAGCCCUGUACUAGAUGGCAUGAUUAUAACAAUGAACUGGAGCAUGUGUCUGCCCAUAUAUGGCUUAGUUCUAUGCAUCACAUAGCUUCAGCUUGAUUUCCAUGUAACUUCAUUCUUCUGUGUUAGAUGCUUUACUAAUCCAGGAUCCACUGUUACACUGACUACCUGCUUCACCCACCCCUAAAAGCAGACAAAACCAACAAAUCUAAAGGCCUUUUUAAGCUCUAAAACUACUUCUGCUUAGCAUUUAGCACUUCUCCAACAUUUGAAUUUUUCUUAACGGUUCUCCAUAUAGGAAAAAUGUCUUUUGAGGAAGUAGCAAUUUGAGCUGGGACCUGAAUGCAAAAACUACUUGAGACUGGGUAAUUUAUAAAGAAAAAAGGCUGGGGAGGCCUCAGGAAACUUACAAUCAUGGUGGAAGGUAAAAGGCAAGCAAGUACCUUCUUUACAAGGCAGCAGAAGAGGUGGUGGUGGUGGUGGGGAUCUGCCAAACACUUUUAAACCAUCAGAUCUUGAGAACUCACUCAUUAUCAUGAGAACAGCAUAGGGGAAACCGCCCCUAUGAUCUAAUCACCACCCACCAGGACCUUCCCUCAACACAUGAGGAUUACAAUUAGAGAUGACAUUUAGGUGGGGACACAGAGCCAAACCAUAUCAUUUCCAUCUCUGGUUCCUCCCAAAUCUCAUGUCUUUCUCACAUUUCAGAAUACAAUCAUGCUUUCCAACAGUCCCCCAAAGUCUAAACUCAUUCCAGCGUUAACCCAAAAGUAUAAGUCCAAAGUCUCGCCUGAGACAAGGCAAGUCCCUUUCCACCUAUGAGCACAUAAAAUCAAAAGCAAGUAAGUUACUUCCAAGAUACAAUAAAAGUACAAGAAUUAGGUAAGUUCUCCCAUUACAAAUGGGAGAAAUAGACCAAUAAAAGGGGCCAUAGGCCCCAUGCAAGUCCAAAACCCAGUGGGGCAGUCAUUAAAUAUUAAAGCUCUGAAAUGAUCUCCCUUGACUCCAUGUCUCACAUCCAAGGCAUGAUGAUACAAGGAAAGGGUGGUCUUUCAAGGAGUUGGGCAGCUCCACUCCUGUGGCCCUGCAGGGUGCAGCCCCUGCAGCUGCUUUCAUGGGCUGGCCUUGAGUGCCUGCAUUUCCAGGUGCACAAUGCAAGCUGUCAGUGGAUCUGCAUUUCAAGGGUCUGGAGGACAGUGGUCCUCUUUUCACAGCUCCACUAGGUAGUGCCCCAGUGGGGACUCUGUGUGGGGACUCCAACCCCACAUUUCCCCUAUGCCUUGCCAUAGUAGAGGUUCUCCAUGUAGGCUCCUCCCAUGCAGCAGACUUCUGCCUGGACAUCCAGGUGUUUCCAUACAUCCUCUGAAAUUGAGGCAGAGGUUCCCAAAGCUCAACUCUUGUCUUCUGCACACCCACAGGCACAACACCAUAUGAAAGCCACCAAGGCUUGGGGCUUGCACCCUCUGAAGCAACAGCCCAAGCUAUACCUUGGCCCCUUUUAGUCAUGGCCAAGAGGUGGAGUGGCUGGGGUACAGGGCACAAUGUCCCGAAGCUGCAAAGAGCAGCAGGGCCCUGGGCCUGUCCCUGGCCCAGGAAACCAUUUUUCCCUCCUAGACCCCCAAGCCUGUUAUGAGAGGGGCUAUCUGAAGGUCUCUGAAAUGUCCUGGAGACAUAUUCCCCAUUGUCUUGGUGGUUUCCAUUCAGCUCCUCAUUACUUAUGCAAAUUUCUGCAGCCAGAUUGAAUUUCUCCCCAGAAAAUGGGUUUUUAUGUUAUACCACAUGGUCUGCUGCAAAUUUUCCAAACUUUUAUGCUCCACUUCCCUUCUAGAUAUAAGUUCCAAUUUCAGAUCAUCUUUGUAAAUGCAUGUGACCAUAUGCUUUUAGAAACAACCAGGUCACACCUUGAAUGCAAUGCUUAGAAAUUUCUUCUGCCAGAUACCCUAAAUCAUCUCUCUCAUGUUCAAAGUUCCACAGAUCUCUAGAGCAGGGGCAAAAUGCUGCCAGUCUCUUUGCUAAAGUAUAUCAAGAGUGACAUUCGCUCCAGUUCCCAGUAAGUUCCUCAUCUCCAUCUGAGACCACCUCAGUCUAGACUUUAUUGUUCAUAUCACUAUCAGCAUUUUGGUCAAAACCAUUCAACAAGUCUCUAGGAAGUUCCAAACUUUCCCACAUUUUUCUGUCUUCUUCUGAGUCCUUCAAACUGUUCCAAUCUCUACCCGUUACCCAGUUCUAAAGUCACUUCUACAUUUUCAGAUAUUUUCUUAGCAGUGCCCCAAACUCCCAGCAUAAAUUUUCUGUACUAGUCCAUUUUCACACUGCUAUAAAGAUCUACUUGAGACUAGGAAAUUUAUAAAGGAAAGAGGUUUAACUGACUCACAGUUCCACAUGGCUGGGGAGACCUCUGGAAACUCACAGUCAUGGCAGAACGCAAAGGGGAAGCAAGCACCUUCUUCACAAGGUGGCAAAAGGGAGAGGGGGUAUUGCCAAACAUGUUUAAACCAUCAGCUGUCAUGAGAACUCACUCACUAUUACAAGAACAGCAUGGGGGAAAUCACCCCCAUGAUCAAAUCACCUCCCACCAGGUCCCUCCCUUGACACAUGGGGAUUACAAUUUAAGGUGAGAUUUGGGUGGGGAUGCAGAGCCAAACCAUAUCAAAUUUUAACAUUAAUGUGAGAUAUUUGCAUUGAUGAUUUAUUGCUGAAGGACUUCACUCAAGUAACUCGAAGGAUCUAAGUGUUUUCUACAUCUGAAAAUCAUGUUAUAAAACACUGUUAUAAAACACAGCAGAGCUGAGCUUGCUGCUUACAAAGAGAAAGUAGAACAAGUCACAGAUAUCCAAACUGAGAAGCACUAUGGUAUUAAGAAUUAAGAAACUAAAAUGAGACAACAUAGGAUCAAAUAUUGUCAUUAACAUUAAUUAGCUCUGUGACCAUGAACCCUAUCCAAAAUAAGCGGGUCAAGAUAAAAAGAGAUAAUUUAGGUAAGGCACUUAGGCCAGUGCCUGGUAAAGAUAAGGAUCCAAUAUGAACAACCUACCACAAAAUACGCUGACAUUGCUGUCAACAUGGUACGCACUUUUAGUGGAUCAUCUCACUUGAUUUUCAAAAUUACACCAAAAAGUAGGUUCUAUUAUUACCCCCAUCUUAUAUGAAGACUUUAUUGUGCUGAAGAAAAAAAAAAGGAAGAAAAAGGAAAGAUUAAUCUUCUUAAAAUGAAAAGAUGAUAACAUAGAGCACUUGUUUCAGCCUGUGGUUAACAAUUGUGGAUGUUAUAAAAAUACAUGACUAAUUAGCUUAAUAUUUGUAGGCAACUAUAUUUAAUUUCAAAUAUUUCUCAACUAUUCAGUGCCUAAUUAUGAAGUCUUUUAUUAUCUGGGAGUUUGUUUGCUACUUCUCCUCUCUGUCCAUUUCAUGGCAUAUACAGUUGCUGCCAGGAUAAUAAAGCUAAGUCAGACUUCAGAUCAGUAGCACAUAUUUCAUGGGUACCUCUUACACACAUGGCACUAUGAAUGUCCCUGUUUGUGGGGAAAGGGGAAUUGAACCAAGAAAUACUAUUGUAAAGAAUAUGGGGGUGAUUUAACCUCCAGAGCCUAGUGAGGGAAAUUGAACAAAGAUAUAUACCCUGUCAUUAUGCAUAAUCAAGAUAGAUUUUUUAAAACAAUAAACUGUUAUUAAGCUUCAAAGUAGAAGAAAAGUUCCAUUUAAAUAACCAUUCAGAGAUUAAAUACAUUUGUUUUAUUGACAUUUCCUUGGGCAUUUUUCUUCCCUAGCCUCUUGUGGCUUCCUUAAAAUUUGUCUGCAUCUUUUGCUUCACAAAAUUGCUCCUCAGGCAAAUUUCUUGUGCUAUGUCUCCAAAGACAAAUGGAGGUGAAGAGUAUGUUUCCUAGUAAAAUAAUAAUUUUCCCAGCAUUUUUAGGUAGUCUUUCCACACUGGCUGUGUUAAACAUUAUAGGCUGCUUUGUCUCCUACAUGCAUUUGACUGAUGUAUCAAUACAGAUUUGGAAAAAAUUAACGUAUUUGCCUACUGUGCACAGCAUUCUUUCACUGUUCUGAUGGACCACAUUUUGUCAAAAUAUACAUUUAUAAUUUUUAAUCAAAAUAUAUUUAGGAUUUAUUGUAACGUUUUAGAAAAAAUGAUGGGCUCAGAACUGGAAACAUUUGGGUUUGUGUCCCUUUUGGGUUUGGGUUCCCCUUAUUAUGUAGCCUCAAGCAAAUUAUUUAAUCCCUCUUAAAUUCGGGUUUCCUUUUCUUUAAAGUUGUGGCAAUUAUCCUUGCCAUAAUUAUUCUAUUUUAUAUCUGGAAAGGCCAGAAAUAAUAUAUGUGAAUUAGCAAAAAAAACUACGGUGUUAUGAUAUCUGUCCCAGUGUAGUUUAUCUCUAAAAAUAUGUCUUUUCAAGUAAUCGAGUGAAAUAUGCAGUGAAAUAAAUAUGAGCUGAUGGUUCUGCUAAUGGUGGAAGUCUCUGCUAUUGGAACAUUUAUUCCCACGAAGUGCUUAGUCAAUGACUAUGGCAACCAAGGGAGAAGUCUCCACUAGGAUAAGCACCAUCAUGCUCUUACUUUAUGUAUCCCUUUUUCUCGAUUAAUAAUUGGGCCAUGAUCUUGAAGCCAUCCUUGGUUACGUGCAUGUAAAAAAGUGUGCAAAGGCACAAGACAUGCACUGGUCCAGUGGAUCCACUGUUUGUUUCAACAGUAUUUGCAUGCCACAGACUCUGGGGACUCUGACCCUUCAUCUCUAACCACGCUCCAAUCUCCUCUCCAGUAGCAACCUCCAGGACCAUCUUCUCAUCUAAGGCCUAGCUUCCAGGAUCAGUUAAUGCCUUUUACUUUGUGUUGCUGUUGUAUUCAUGGGGUUAUGGGGUGUGUGUGUAUGUGUAUCAGUUCCUUGUUACCAACCAACCAUGAGCACCACAAGCAACACAUUACUCUGACUCAGAGUGUAGGUCACUACUGUUAACCACCAGGUCCCCAGCAUCGCGGGUUUCUUACACCUUUCUCUGGACUUCUAUUUCCACUGGAAAGAUGUCACCCUGGAGGGUGUGGGCCACUUUUGGAUGACCACUUGGCUAACCUCCUCCACAAGCAGGCUGGGUGAAUACCUCUUUGAAAGACUCAUUCUCCAGCACAAGGAGCCUCUGGACCCCAUGGGUCAUUUCAUCCUGGAUCCCUUUCCCAAGCAGUGUGCAAAAUGGAAACAAUGAAUAAUAAAAUUAUUUUUGCAUUAAAAAAAUAAAGAAACUUGUGGCAGUGAUUCCUUUAGUCAUUCAUUCAUUCAUCUGUCUCCAGAGGAAAGAAAAUUUUAUUUAAACUUCAAGAAUAGUGGGAGGCUUCCCAUUAUUAGCUUGAUUGAACUCUUCAUUGCUUUCAGAAUAAACUUCAAAUUCCUUGUGGUGGCCUGCAGAAAAUUCACCACUUUCCCAAAAUAUAUUUCCUAUCUUUAUCCCCCAUUACAUCUUUUCCUAAGUUUUGUCCCCACAAUAUAAAAUUACUGGAUUUUCUGCAAACACAAUAUGUUUCAAUCAUCUCUCUCAAUAUGUUGUGCUAUUCAACUAACCAGGGAUGUCCUUCAUUCCUUUCUCCAUCCACUGGCACCCUACUCUAUGUCUAAGACAUAGGUCAGAUGCUUUCUUCAUGGGAAACCCUCCCCCACACUUCCCACCUUUCCCUACUCCUCCAGAUUGACCCUGAAGAGGGUCAAUGGCUGUUUAUCAAACACUUCGUGGAAGAGAUUUGACUAGAAAAUUGCAAAAGUCCUUUGGAUAGACUUAAUAAAACGUUUCCGUGUUUAGGAGAGGAACAAAUUAUCAGCACAAGACUCUCAUACUGACCCAAAUGCACAGUACAACUCGAUUCCAGCCUAUCUUGAAUUUGGUAUAUUUUCCAAAGAUGGAAACCUCUUUAGUCAAGGACUAAAGGUUUUCAUUUCAGAAUUUCCCAAGACAAAUUGUUCUAACAAGUUUUAUCUAGAAUUCUCUUUUUUUGUUAUUGUCCCAUUCCUUUUUAGCAGCAAAAUGUGUUUUUCAUAAGCAUAUUUAGGUCUAGAGAGCUUAACAGUUUGUUUGUUUGUUUUUUUUGAAACGGAGUUUUGCUCUGUUGCCCAGGCUGGAGUGCAG